AUAAUUAGAGUCAAAGAGAGAGUUGAUUUCCUUCUCUUCAAACUCUCCCACGCAAGAUCUCUCCCCGUUUGUUUUAUUUUAUAUUCUUUUAUAAAUUAAAUAUUAUUGGUACCCUUCUAUUUUUUAUAUUCCAGUGAUUUUUCUCUACCCUCCUUCUUUUUCUCAAACUCCUUCUCUUUCCAAAAGGCCCAAUUACAUCCUUCAAUGAUGAUUUCGGAAAGAUUACAACCACUUUGUACAUGUUGAGAUAGGAGAGCCGUGGUUAGGAGGGUUUUUGUGUUGCCAAUUAAAUUAUUUUUCAAUCUAAAUUAUUUUAGUUCAAGGAAUCAAGUCUUAGGCUUUCAUAUGGGUUUCAAGCUAUUUUGUGUAGAAACAUCUCCGGCAGCUCCUCUUGAGAGGUAGAAAGAAAUCAAUUCAGCCGCUACAUGCUACACAGGUGUACUCCGAUAUUGCUGACAUUAUGGGAAAAUUAUGCAACAAAUGAAGGGAGCAAAUUGCUGGACAUUGUAUCACAAAAUCCUAUAAUUGCUUUUUCAGCAGUUUCUCAAGUAGAGUACCAAGGUGGCUCACUUGGUACAACAGGAUUUACAUCAAUUGAAAUAAAUCCAACGAUUCCAGAAGCAGAAGAUUU